GGUCAAGUAGUUAAGUGCGCAGUGGUGGAUGCCUAGGCACGUGUCGGCGAUGAAGGACGUGGCAAGCUGCGAUAAGCCUCGGGGAGCUGCAAGCAAGCUUAGAUCCGGGGAUGUCCGAAUGGGGAAACCCGCUUGGAGUCAUAUCCAAGCACCGUAAUAGGAGCCAACCCAGGGAACUGAAACAUCUAAGUACCUGGAGGAAAAGAAAUCAAAUGAGAUUCCCUAAGUAGCGGCGAGCGAACGGGGAAUAGCCCAAACCGGCGGGUUACCGUCGGGGUUGUGGGGCCCUGAAUAACCGAGUCAAAAGUGUAGCAGAACGCGCCUGGAAUGGCGGACCACAGAGGGUGACAGUCCCGUACGCGAAACGCGAGUAGAUAAGCGUCAGGGUUCCCGAGUAGGUCGGGACACGAGAAAUCCCGAUUGAAUCUGGGGGGACCAUCCUCCAAGGCUAAAUACGAACACGUGACCGAUAGCGAAUAGUACCGUGAGGGAAUGGUGAAAAGAACGCCUGACGGCGAGUGAAAUAGAUCCUGAAACCGUGCGCAUACAAGCGGUAGGAGCCUGGUCUUAUCUACGGAUGAGACGUGGGUGACUGCGUGCCUUUUGCAUAAUGAUCCGACGAGUUACUCCUCACAUGCGAGGUUAAGGCCUUCAGGGCCGGAGCCGAAGCGAAAGCGAGUCUGAAAUGGGCGACUGGAGUAUGUGGGGGUAGACCCGAAACCGACGCGAUCUAUCCAUGGCCAGGUUGAAGCCGGGGUAACACCUGGUGGAGGACCGAACCGUUGUGGGUUGAAAACUGCUCGGAUGAGCUGUGGAUAGGGGUGAAAGGCCAAUCAAGCUCGGAGAUAGCUGGUUCUCCCCGAAAUAUAUUUAGGUAUAGCCUCAGGAAUUUUCUCCGGGAGGUAGAGCACUGAAUGGGCUAGGGGCCUUACCCGGUUACCGAACCCAAUCAAACUCCGAAUGCCCGAGAGAUGGACCCUGGGAGUCAGUGGGCGAGCGAUAAUGUCCGUCCGCGAGAGGGAAAGAACCCAGACCGUCAGCUAAGGCCCCAAAGUGUGUGCUAAGUGAGAAAGGAUGUGAAUUUGCAGAGACAACUAGGAGGUUGGCUUAGAAGCAGCCAUUCCUUUGAAGAGUGCGUAAUAGCUCACUAGUCAAGUGGAUUUGCGCCGAUAAUGGUCGGGACUCAAGCACACCGCCGAAGCUACGGAUGGAACGCCUCUUAGGAGGCGAAACAUGGUAGGGGAGCGUUCCCUGGGCGUUGAAGCGGACCUGUAAGGGCUUCCGUGGAGCGCAGGGAAGAGAGUAUGUCGGAAUGAGUAGCGAGAAACAAAGUGAGAAUCUUUGUCACCGAAAGCCUAAGGGUUCCGGAGCCAGGCUUAUCCGCUCCGGGUUAGUCGGUCCCUAAGUCGAGGCCGAAAGGCGUAGGCGAUGGGAAACAGGUCAACAUUCCUGUACCGUAAUGUGCGCGUUUGACCCUAAGGGGGGACGCAGAAGUGAAAGGACCGUCGGGUGGUGGAUUUCCGAUGUAAGGUGGUAGGCGUUGAGGAGUAGGCAAAUCCGCUCCUUUAGCCGAGAACCGAUGCCGAAGGGGCUUUCGAGCCCCGCAAAGGGUCCGUAAUCAGGCUGCCAAGAAAAGCCUCGUAGGGAAGUUCACAUUGCGACCGUACCGUAAACGGACACACGUAGGCGAGGCGAGAAGCCUAAGGUGCUCGAGUGAAUUGUGGAGAAGGAACUCGGCAAAUUGACCCCGUAACUUCGGAAGAAGGGGUGCCAGCGGUAGGUGAACCCACUUGCUGGGGGAGCCGAAACUGGCCGCAGAGAAUCGGCCCAGGCGACUGUUUAGCAAAAACAUAGGUGUCUGCUAAGUCGCUGAGACGACGUAUAGGCACUGACGCCU
rnacentral:rRNA from 1 species